rnacentral:rRNA from 1 species
GACGUAGGGCGCGAGCGUUGUCCGGAUUUACUGGGCGUAAAGGGCGCGUAGGCGGCCACCGCAAGUCGACUGUGAAAUCUCCGGGCUUAACCCGGAAAGGUCAGCCGAUACUGCGGGGCUAGAGUGCAGAAGGGGCAACUGGAAUUCUCGGUGUAGCGGUGAAAUGCGUAGAUAUCGAGAGGAACACCUGCGGCGAAGGCGGGUUGCUGGGCUGACACUGACGCUGAGGCGCGACAGCGUGGGGAGCAAACAGG